UACAGAGGUCUCAAGCGUUGUUCGGAUUCAUUGGGCGUAAAGGGUGCGUAGGUGGCGCCGUAAGUCGGGUGUGAAAUUCGGAGCUUAACUCCGAAACUGCAUUCGAUACUGCGGUGCUUGAGGACUGGAGAGGAGACUGGAAUUCAUGGUGUAGCAGUGAAAUGCGUAGAGAUCAUGAGGAAGACCAGUGCGAAGGCGGGUCUCUGGACAGUUCCUGACACUGAGGCACGAAGGCCAGGGAGCAAACGGG
rnacentral:rRNA from 1 species